GGAUGUGGUGCAAUAUUGCUUAGAGAUCUGUUAUCCUGUUAAUCACCAUGGCUGAUUUGACUGAUCUUACUAAAUAAGCUUGUGCCUAUUCUCUGUUUCUCCCUCACCGUUCAAAGUAUGUCUUUCUUGAAGCUGCACAACUCAUUCUAACAGAUGACCUAUCCAUUUGGAAGAGGACUGAUUUUUUUUAUU
rnacentral:snRNA from 1 species